GCAAACGACUCAUGGAGCUCGACACAAGAUAGCAGCUUCAUAAACGAAAAUAGUGAAGCUGGGUCAUGGAUGUGUUGGUUCCUUGAAAAAGUGGGGCCAUUAUUGUUCUCCAGAGAAAUCCUGAGUCUCCGAGUUGUCGUCUACAUCUUCCUGUUCCUAAUGCUGCUGCUGCUGUUGGUAUCUGGCUACAUUGGGCUGAGGAUCACGGCUCUGGAAAAGCAGCUUAGCUCUCUGGGAGCCCUGGCCUCGCAAUACACAGAGUACCAGGAGACAUAACCACCUCAUCUAGCGGCAUCUCAAUAAGGAACCUUGUGAAUUUUGUACAAAACUCCUUUUUAUGUGGAAAAUAUUUUUAUUCAGUAUUGCAUACAGAUACUUUCACAACAGAAGGUAAACUAGUAUUUAAUUCGGAUGUUCUACAGCUAAGGAUAAUGACACUUCCGGGUUGUUUGAACCGGGUUUAGACCUGGACUACCAGUAUCAAGGUGUAACAAGACUUUCUACUACCAAGUAAAUCCUGUGAAAGACCUCCUAUGUUUUAACCCAAUACUGCAUGAAUUAUGUAAAUGGAACAAAUGUAUGUUUUCAUUGUAAAAUAGAUGUUAAAUUAAGUAGAUUAAUUUGAAUAUAGCCAAAACAACAGAUGCAAUUUUAGUGUGCAUAUUUCAUCCAUAAUAUAUAUUGAAUCUUCCUCAGUUGACAUUAAAGCCUAACUAGACGACUUUAUUUAUUUAUUUUUUUUCAAAAUGUUUUUAAUGAAAAGUCAGAGGUAGAACAAAAUAAAUCGUCAUUGUGGUUACAAAAGACUUUCCGUUUUUCAAACUUCCUCCAAGCCCUCCC